AAAAAAAAAAAAAAAAAAAAAAAAAAAAACUCUCACAACCAGUUCCAUAAAUGUUUGUUA
rnacentral:ribozyme from 1 species